UACGUAGGGUCCGAGCGUUGUCCGGAAUUAUUGGGCGUAAAGGGCUCGUAGGCGGUUUGUCACGUCGGGAGUGAAAACUCAGGGCUCAACCCUGAGCGUGCUUCCGAUACGGGCAGACUAGAGGUAUGCAGGGGAGAACGGAAUUCCUGGUGUAGCGGUGGAAUGCGCAGAUAUCGGGAGGAACACCGGUGGCGAAGGCGGUUCUCUGGGCCUUACCUGACGCUGAGAAGCGAAAGCAUGGGGAGCGAACAGG
rnacentral:rRNA from 1 species